rnacentral:rRNA from 1 species
GACGAACGCUGGCGGCGUGCUUAACACAUGCAAGUCGAACGGAAAGGCCCUGCUUUUGUGGGGUGCUCGAGUGGCGAACGGGUGAGUAACACGUGAGUAACCUGCCCUUGACUUUGGGAUAACUUCAGGAAACUGGGGCUAAUACCGGAUAGGAGCUCCUGCUGCAUGGUGGGGGUUGGAAAGUUUCGGCGGUUGGGGAUGGACUCGCGGCUUAUCAGCUUGUUGGUGGGGUAGUGGCUUACCAAGGCUUUGACGGGUAGCCGGCCUUGGAGGGUGACCGGCGACAUUGGGACUGAGGUACGGCCCAGACUCCUACGGGAGGCAGCAGGGGGGAGUAUGGCACAAUGGGCGGAAGCCUGAUGCAGCAACGCCGCGUGCGGGAUGACGGCCUUCGGGUUGUAAACCGCUUUCGCCUGUGACGAAGCGUGAGUGACGGUAAUGGGUAAAGAAGCACCGGCUAACUACGUG